UACGUAGGGUGCAAGCGUUGUCCGGAAUUAUUGGGCGUAAAGAGCUCGUAGGCGGUCUGUUGCGUCGGCUGUGAAAACCCGAGGCUCAACCUCGCGCCUGCAGUGGGUACGGGCAGUCUAGAGUGCGGUAGGGGAGAUUGGAAUUCCUGGUGUAGCGGUGGAAUGCGCAGAUAUCAGGAGGAACACCGGUGGCGAAGGCGGUUCUCUGGGCAUGUCCUGACGCUGAGGAGCGAAAGCGUGGGGAGCGAACAGG
rnacentral:rRNA from 1 species